UCACCUCUUUAAAAAUAAUUGAUUCCUUUCCCUUUACUGUGAUGUUUUACCUUGCUGAAUUCUUUUUCAAAAUAAGCCUAUUUUGUACUUAGACUUGAUUAUUUACUUCAUGCUUUUGCUGCCCCUUAUAUGGCAAUAAUCAAUCUGUCCUUAACUAAUUUUCUUUCCUUAAUUGAAAUUUGUUAGUACCUGUUAAGCCAUGAUUCCUUAAUUAAAAGGAAUCACUUGGCUUAAUUGAUUUUUAUGGUGAUUAUUUCCAUGUUUGUGUUAAGACUUUACUGAUUACCUUAUUUUUUACUCGUUUUAGAAACUAUAAAUACCUACACUCUUUUCUUUCAAAGACGGACAACUUGAGUUCAGAACACACACCUACACUUAAAACUCUCUCUUUCUUUUCUGCUACUUGUGUUAUUUCUUUGUCUAGCUGGCUGAAAGCCAAGGCUAGAAUGUGGACUCUUGUUUGCUUUACCUUUCUGCACUCUGCUUCUCUACUGGUAUGUCCUAAUUUACUUUUUAAGUCUCAACAACAAUAUGUUUCUUUAAGAUGCUUCAGUUUCUCAUUCAUGUCCACUUCUGCUCAUGUCUCUGCAAUCUAUUUAUGUUAUUAGCAUGCUGAAAUACGUUCCCUUCCAUUUUAUAAUUAUUGUUUCCCUAUAUGUGUACUCUGUCGGUCGCUUUUAUGUGAUUUGCUGACUUAUGAAUCCCAAACCCACAUAUCCCGUAUAUGUGUUCCUUUGGAUGUUUUGUGUCCAUUCCAGCAUCAGCUAUUAUUGUGCAUGACCAAUCCAGACCCCUGCUGGGGUUAUACAAUGUAUCCCAUAAUCCCUUCCCUUUUUAAAUUAAUGAUUCCCUAUAUGUGUACUCUGUUAGUCUCUUGUUAUGUGAUUUGUUGACUUAUGAAUCCCAAACCCCCAUAUCCCUUAUAUGUGUUCCUUUGGAUGGUUUGUGUCCAUGACAGCAUAAGUUAUUGCUGUGCAUGACCAAACCAGACCCCUGCUAGGGUUAUACAAUAUAUCCCAUAAUACCUUCCCCUUUUAGAUUAAUGUUUUCCUAUGUAUGUACUAUGGUAUGUGAUUUGCUGAC
rnacentral:lncRNA from 1 species